rnacentral:rRNA from 1 species
UAGGGAAUCUUCGGCAAUGGACGGAAGUCUGACCGAGCAACGCCGCGUGAGUGAAGAAGGUUUUCGGAUCGUAAAGCCCUGUUGUUAGAGAAGAACGUUGGUAGGAGUGGAAAAUCUACCAAGUGACGGUAACUAACCAGAAAGGGACGGCUAACUACGUGCCAGCAGCCGCGGUAAUACGUAGGUCCCGAGCGUUGUCCGGAUUCAUUGGGCGUAAAGCGAGCGCAGGCGGUUCUUUAAGUCUGAAGUUAAAGGCAGUGGCUUAACCAUUGUACGCUUUGGAAACUGGCGGACGUGAGUGCAGAAGGGAAGAGUGGAAUUCCAUGUAUAGCGGUGAAAUGCGUAGAUAUAGGAAGGAACACCGGUGGCGAAAGCGGCUCUCUGGUCUGUAACUGACGCAGAGGCUAGAAAGCGUGGUGAGCAAACAGG